rnacentral:rRNA from 1 species
GAGCGGCGGACGGGUGAGUAAUGUCUGGGAAACUGCCUGAUGGAGGGGGAUAACUACUGGAAACGGUAGCUAAUACCGCAUAACGUCGCAAGACCAAAGUGGGGGACCUUCGGGCCUCAUGCCAUCAGAUGUGCCCAGAUGGGAUUAGCUAGUAGGUGAGGUAAUGGCUCACCUAGGCGACGAUCCCUAGCUGGUCUGAGAGGAUGACCAGCCACACUGGAACUGAGACACGGUCCAGACUCCUACGGGAGGCAGCAGUGGGGAAUAUUGCACAAUGGGCGCAAGCCUGAUGCAGCCAUGCCGCGUGUAUGAAGAAGGCCUUCGGGUUGUAAAGUACUUUCAGCGAGGAGGAAGGCGAUAAGGUUAAUAACCUUGUCGAUUGACGUUACUCGCAGAAGAAGCACCGGCUAACUCCGUGCCAGCAGCCGCGGUAAUACGGAGGGUGCAAGCGUUAAUCGGAAUUACUGGGCGUAAAGCGCACGCAGGCGGUCUGUCAAGUCGGAUGUGAAAUCCCCGGGCUCAACCUGGGAACUGCAUCCGAAACUGGCAGGCUAGAGUCUUGUAGAGGGGGGUAGAAUUCCAGGUGUAGCGGUGAAAUGCGUAGAGAUCUGGAGGAAUA